rnacentral:rRNA from 1 species
UUACGGUCAAAUCACGCUGAAACACCGGUUCUCGUUCGAUCACCGAAGUUAAGCAUCGUAGAGCCAGGUCAGUACUUAGAUGGGGGGACCGCUUGGGAACACCUGGUACUGUAAG